GCUUAACGCGAAGAACCUUACCAGGGUUUGACAUCCCAAGAAGGCUUCCGAAAGGAAACUGUGCCGUAAGGAACUUGGUGACAGAUGAUGCAUGGCCGUCGUCAGCUCGUGUCGUGAGAUGUUUGGUUAAGUCCAUCAACGAGCGCAACCCUUGUGAAUAGUUGUAUUUUUCUAUUCAGACUGCCCCGGCAACGGGGAGGAAGGAGGGGAUGAGGUCAGGUCUGUAUUUCUCUUACAUCCUGGGCUAGAAACACGAUACAAUGGCUAGUACAAUGCGCAGCGAAGCCGCGAGGUGGAGCAAAUCGCAUCAAAGCUAGUCCCAGUUCGGAUUGUAGGCUGAAACUCGCCUGCAUGAAGUCGGAAUCGCUAGUAAUCGCGAAUCAGAAUGUCGCGGUGAAUACGUUCCCGGGUCUUGUACACAC
rnacentral:rRNA from 1 species